rnacentral:rRNA from 1 species
UACGUAGGGGGCAAGCGUUGUCCGGAAUCAUUGGGCGUAAAGCGCGUGUAGGCGGCUCGAUAAGUCUGCUGUGAAAGUUCAGGGCUCAACCCUGAAAUGCCGGUGGAAACUGUCGAGCUAGAGUCCGGAAGAGGCGAGUGGAAUUCCUGGUGUAGCGGUGAAAUGCGCAGAUAUCAGGAGGAACACCAAUGGCGAAGGCAGCUCGCUGGGACGGUACUGACGCUGAGGUGCGAAAGCGUGGGGAGCAAACAGG